AAUGAACGUUGGCGGCGUGGAUUAGGCAUGCAAGUCGAGCGAGAAGGUUUCUUUUGCUUGCAUUAGAAACUGGAAAGCGGCGAAAGGGAGAGUAACGCGUAGAAUACCUGCCCCGAGGCCUGGGAUAGCGGGGGGAAACCGCCGGUAAUACCAGAUAAUGUUUCCGAACCAAAGGUGUGAUUCCGCCUCGGGAUGGUUCUGCGUCCUAUUAGCUUGUUGGUGGGGUAACGGCCUACCAAGGCAAUGAUGGGUAGCGGGCGUGAGAGCGUGGCCCGUCUCACUGGGACUGAGACACUGCCCAGACACCUACGGGUGGCUGCAGUCGAGAAUCUUCCGCAAUGGACGAAAGUCUGACGGAGCGACGCCGCGUGCGGGAUGAAGGCCUUCGGGUUGUAACCGCUGUCAGUGGGGUGAAAUGUAUUGAGGUUAUCCUCUUUUACUUUGACCUAACCGCAGAGGAAGUCCGGGCUAAGUACGUGCCAGCAGCCGCGGUAAU
rnacentral:rRNA from 1 species